rnacentral:tRNA from 1 species
UCCCUGGUAGCUCAGAUGGUAAAGUGUCUGCCUACAAUGCAGGAGACCCAGGUUCGAUCCCUGGGUUGGGAA